AUUGAACGCUGGCGGCAGGCCUAACACAUGCAAGUCGAGCGAGCGGCGGACGGGUGAGUACUGUCUGGGAAACUGCCUGAUGGAGGGGGAUAACUACUGGAAACGGUAGAUAAUACCGCAUACCAUCAGAUGUGCCCAGAUGGGCGUAGCUAGUAGGUGGGGUAAUGGCUCACCUAGGAAACGAUCCCUAGCUGGUCUGAGAGGAUGACCAGCCACACUGGAACUGAGACACGGUCCAGACUCCUACGGGAGGCAGCAGUGGGGAAUAUUGCACAAUGGGCGCAAGCCUGAUGCAGCCAUGCCGCGUGUAUGAAGAAGGCCUUCGGGUUGUAAAGUACUUUCAGCGAGGAGGCGUUACUCGCAGAAGAAGCACCGGCUAACUCCGUGCCAGCAGCCGCGGUAAUAC
rnacentral:rRNA from 1 species